rnacentral:rRNA from 1 species
GUCGAACGAGAACGGAUUACAGCUUGCUGUAAUUGUCAGCUAAGUGGCGCACGGGUGAGUAAUAUAUAGUUAAUCUGCCCCAAAGAAGAGAAUAAUUGUUGGAAACGACUUGUAAUGCUCUAUAUGCCUUUAUCACAUAAGUGAGCAAGGGAAAUAUUUAUAGCUUUGGGAUGAGACUGUACGGUAUCAGCUAGUUGGUGAGGUAAUGGCUCACCAAGGCUAUGACAUCUAACUGGUUUGAGAGGAUGAUCAGUCACACUGGAACUGAGACACGGUCCAGACUCCUACGGGAGGCAGCAGUGGGGAAUAUUGCACAAUGGAGGGAACUCUGAUGCAGCAACGCCGCGUGGAGGAUGACACAUUUCGGUGCGUAAACUCCUUUUAUAUGAGAAGAUAAUGACGGUAUCAUAUGAAUAAGCACCGGCUAACUCCGUGCCAGCAGCCGCGGUAAUACGGGGGGUGCAAGCGUUACUCGGAAUCACUGGGCGUAAAGAGCAUGUAGGCUGUAGAUUAAGUUGGAAGUGAAAUCCUAUGGCUCAACCAUAGAACUGCUUCCAAAACUGAUUUGCUAGAGUAUGGGAGAGGUAGAUGGAAUUUCUGGUGUAGGGGUAAAAUCCGUAGAGAUC